rnacentral:rRNA from 1 species
AUGGCUCCCCGCGUCAUGGUGCUGCCGCUCCCGGAGCAGGGCCACGUGACCCCGCUCAUGGAGCUGUCGCACCGGCUCGUCGACCACGGCAUGGAGGUCACUUUCGUCUGCACCGAGCGCACCCACGCGCUCAUUCUCGGCGGCCUCGGACACCGCACCAACGGGUAUGAGGCACUGGGCGGGAUACAGCUGGUUGCCAUACCGGACGGUCUGGCUGACGGCGACGACCGCAGGGACAUCAGCAAGUCCCUUGCCGGGUUGUCCUGGAGCAUACGAGGCCACGUGGAGGAGCUCAUUAGGGCGACCAAGGUGAAGUGGCUCGUUGCCGAUGCCACCGUGGUGGGGAUGUGCUACGAGGUUGCCAAGAAGCUCGCCGUCAGGAUCGCCUGCUUCUCCCCGAUGCCGGCGGCAUACCUCGGCACACUGUUGAGGAUUCCGGAGCUUAUAGCUGACGGCUUCUUCGAUGACAAUGGCAUCCCGAAGCGACAAGGCGCGUUCCUGCUCGCCCCCAACACGCCGCCGCUCUACACAGCGCACGUACCGUGGGGCGUGGCCGGCGGCCCCGAGGUGCAGCUUACGUUUUUCCAGAACGCUUCCCGGAACGCGCAGGCUGCCAGGCUUGCCGACAUGGUCCUGUGCAACACGUUCCACGACGCCGAGGCCGUGGCGUUCGAGCUGUACCCCGAAAUACUGCCCAUCGGCCCGCUAUUCGCCGAUGGGAAGACCGUCGGGCAGUUCCUUCCGGAGGACACGAGAUGCAUCAAGUGGCUCGACGCGCACGCCGACAACUCCGUCGUGUAUGCGGCGUUCGGCAGCACCACCGUCUUCGACCCCAGCCAGAUUCAGGAGCUCGCCGAGGGGCUGGAGCUCGCCGGCCGGCCCUUCCUCUGGGUGGUGCGCCCGGAUUUUUCAUCCGGCUUCGGUGGCCUACGCAAGGCGUGGUUCGACGAGUUCGAAAACCGCACCGCCGGCAAGGGCAUGGUCGUCAGCUGGUGCGCCCAGCAGCAGGUCCUGGCGCACCGCGCCGUCGGGUGCUUCCUGACUCACUGCGGAUGGCACUCCGUCUUGGAAGCGCUGAGGAACGGCGUCCCCAUGCUAUGCUGGCCCUACUUCUUCGACCAUUUCACCAUCCGGAGCUAUAUUAGCGACGUCUGGAGGACUGGCUUGGCCAUGUCGCCGGGGGAAGAUGGCGCCAUAAGCAAGGAGGAGGUGAGCACCAUGGUGGAACGAGUCAUCACUGACCAUGUGAUUGGAGAGAGGGCACGAAUCCUCGGGGAUGCAGCUUGCCGGAGCCUUGCCAAGGGUGGUUCUUCCUACGAAAAUUUCCAGAAGUUUGUCAAUAUCCUCAAGGCCACUCUGUAA